rnacentral:rRNA from 1 species
GACAGAGGGGGCAAGCGUUGCUCGGAAUUACUGGGCGUAAAGGGCGCGUAGGCGGUGUGUCGCGUCGGUCGUGAAAACUUGGGGCUUAACCCUGAGCUUGCGGUCGAUACGGGCAUCACUGGAGUUCGGCAGGGGAGACUGGAAUUCCUGGUGUAGCGGUGAAAUGCGCAGAUAUCAGGAGGAACACCGGUGGCGAAGGCGGGUCUCUGGGCCGAUACUGACGCUGAGGAGCGAAAGCGUGGGGAGCGAACAGG